rnacentral:rRNA from 1 species
AUAUGGCGCGCUUACCUGCAGUCGAGCGGAGAGAGGUAGCUUGCUACCGAUCUUAGCGGCGGACGGGUGAGUAAUGCUUAGGAAUCUGCCUAUUAGUGGGGGACAACAUUUCGAAAGGAAUGCUAAUACCGCAUACGUCCUACGGGAGAAAGCAGGGGAUCUUCGGACCUUGCGCUAAUAGAUGAGCCUAAGUCGGAUUAGCUAGUUGGUGGGGUAAAGGCCUACCAAGGCGACGAUCUGUAGCGGGUCUGAGAGGAUGAUCCGCCACACUGGGACUGAGACACGGCCCAGACUCCUACGGGAGGCAGCAGUGGGGAAUAUUGGACAAUGGGCGCAAGCCUGAUCCAGCCAUGCCGCGUGUGUGAAGAAGGCCUUAUGGUUGUAAAGCACUUUAAGCGAGGAGGAGGCUACUUUAGUUAAUACCUAGAGAUAGUGGACGUUACUCGCAGAAUAAGCACCGGCUAACUCUGUGCCAGCAGCCGCGGUAAUACAGAGGGUGCAAGCGUUAAUCGGAUUUACUGGGCGUAAAGCGCGCGUAGGCGGCUAAUUAAGUCAAAUGUGAAAUCCCCGAGCUUAACUUGGGAAUUGCAUUCGAUACUGGUUAGCUAGAGUGUGGGAGAGGAUGGUAGAAUUCCAGGUGUAGCGGUGAAAUGCGUAGAGAUCUGGAGGAAUACCGAUGGCGAAGGCAGCCAUCUGGCCUAACACUGACGCUGAGGUGCGAAAGCAUGGGGAGCAAACAGGAUUAGAUACCCUGGUAGUCCAUGCCGUAAACGAUGUCUACUAGCCGUUGGGGCCUUUGAGGCUUUAGUGGCGCAGCUAACGCGAUAAGUAGACCGCCUGGGGAGUACGGUCGCAAGACUAAAACUCAAAUGAAUUGACGGGGGCCCGCACAAGCGGUGGAGCAUGUGGUUUAAUUCGAUGCAACGCGAAGAACCUUACCUGGCCUUGACAUAGUAAGAACUUUCCAAAGAUGGAUUGGUGCCUUCGGGAACUUACAUACCGGGGCUGCAUGGCUGGCCUCCAGCCCGGG